GAACGAACUUCCGUUAAUUGAUUAUGACGUACUUGUACUGAUUGAGAUUUAAACACGAAGUGAGUGGCGAACGGGUGAGUAACACGUGGGUAACCUGCCCAGAAGUAGGGGAUAACACCUGGAAACAGAUGCUAAUACCGUAUAACAGAGAAAACCGCAUGGUUUUCUUUUAAAAGAUGGCUCUGCUAUCACUUCUGGAUGGACCCGCGGCGUAUUAGCUAGUUGGUGAGGUAAAGGCUCACCAAGGCAGUGAUACGUAGCCGACCUGAGAGGGUAAUCGGCCACAUUGGGACUGAGACACGGCCCCAGACUCCUAGCGGAGGCAGCAGUAGGGAAUCUUCCCACAAUGGACGCAAGUCUGAUGGAGCAACGCCGCGUGAGUGAAGACGGCUCGUAAAGCUCUGUUGUUAAAGAAGAACGUGGGUAAGAGUAACUGUUUACCCAGUGACGGUAUUUAACCAGAAAGCCACGGCUAACUACGUGCCAGCAGCCGCGGUAAUACGUAGGUGGCAAGCGUUAUCCGGAUUUAUUGGGCGUAAAGCUGAGCGCAGGCGGUCCUUUAAGUCUAAUGUGAAAGCCUUCGGCUCAACCGAAGAAGUGCAUUGGAAACUGGGAGACUUGAGUGCAGAAGAGGACAGUGGAACUCCAUGUGUAGCGGUGAAAUGCGUAGUAUAUAUGGAAGAACACCAGUGGCGAAGGCGGCUGUCUGGUCUGCAACUGACGCUGAGGCUCG
rnacentral:rRNA from 1 species